rnacentral:rRNA from 1 species
AGAGUUUGAUCCUGGCUCAGGAUGAACGCUGGCGGCGUGCUUAACACGUGCAAGUCGAGCGAAGCACUUUUGCGGAUUUCUUCGGAUUGAAGCAAUUGUGACUGAGCGGCGGACGGGUGAGUAACGCGUGGGUAACCUGCCUCAUACAGGGGGAUAACAGUUGGAAACGGCUGCUAAUACCGCAUAAGCGCACAGUACCGCAUGGUACCGUGUGAAAAACUCCGGUGGUAUGAGAUGGACCCGCGUCUGAUUAGGUAGUUGGUGGGGUAACGGCCUACCAAGCCGACGAUCAGUAGCCGACCUGAGAGGGUGACCGGCCACAUUGGGACUGAGACACGGCCCAAACUCCUACGGGAGGCAGCAGUGGGGAAUAUUGCACAAUGGGGGAAACCCUGAUGCAGCGACGCCGCGUGAGCGAUGAAGUAUUUCGGUAUGUAAAGCUCUAUCAGCAGGGAAGAAAAUGACGGUACCUGACUAAGAAGCCCCGGCUAACUACGUGCCAGCAGCCGCGGUAAUACGUAGGGGGCAAGCGUUAUCCGGAUU